rnacentral:rRNA from 1 species
GGGCGUAAGCGUACGCAGGCGGUUUGUUAAGCGAGAUGUGAAAGCCCCGGGCUCAACCUGGGAACUGCAUUUCGAACUGGCAAACUAGAGUGUGAUAGAGGGUGGUAGAAUUUCAGGUGUAGCGGUGAAAUGCGUAGAGAUCUGAAGGAAUACCGAUGGCGAAGGCAGCCACCUGGGUCAACACUGACGCUCAUGUACGAAAGCGUGGGGAGCAAACGGGAUUAGAUACCCCGGUAGUCCACGCCGUAAACGAUGUCUACUAGAAGCUCGGAGCCUCGGUUCUGUUUUUCAAAGCUAACGCAUUAAGUAGACCGCCUGGGGAGUACGGCCGCAAGGUUAAAACUCAAAUGAAUUGACGGGGGCCCGCACAAGCGGUGGAGCAUGUGGUUUAAUUCGAUGCAACGCGAAGAACCUUACCUACACUUGACAUACAGAGAACUUACCAGAGAUGGUUUGGUGCCUUCGGGAACUCUGAUACA